rnacentral:rRNA from 1 species
AACGAACGCUGGCGGCAUGCCUAACACAUGCAAGUCGAACGAGACCUUCGGGUCUAGUGGCGCACGGGUGCGUAACGCGUGGGAACCUGCCCUUAGGUUCGGAAUAACUCCCCGAAAGGGGUGCUAAUACCGGAUAAUGUCUUCGGACCAAAGAUUUAUCGCCUUUGGAUGGGCCCGCGUUGGAUUAGCUAGUUGGUAGGGUAAAAGCCUACCAAGGCGACGAUCCAUAGCUGGUCUGAGAGGAUGAUCAGCCACACUGGGACUGAGACACGGCCCAGACUCCUACGGGAGGCAGCAGUGGGGAAUAUUGGACAAUGGGCGAAAGCCUGAUCCAGCAAUGCCGCGUGAGUGAUGAAGGCCUUAGGGUUGUAAAGCUCUUUUACCCGGGAUGAUAAGGACAGUACCGGGAGAAUAAGCUCCGGCGAACUCCGG